CGUGUAGGCGGCUUGGCAAGUCGGAUGUGAAAGCCCACGGCUCAACCGUGGAAGCGCAUCCGAAACUGCUUCGCUCGAGUCUCGGAGAGGAAGGUGGAAUGCUUGGUGUAGAGGUGAAAUUCGUAGAUAUCAAGCAGAACACCUGCGGCGAAGGCGGCCUUCUGGACGAUGACUGACGCUGAGACGCGAAAGCGUGGGGAGCAAACAGGAUUAGAUACCCUGGUAGUCCACGCCGUAAACGAUGAGUGCUAGGUGUCACGGGCUUUGACCCUCGUGGUGCCGUAGCUAACGCAAUAAGCACUCCGCCUGGGGAGUACGGCCGCAAGGCUAAA
rnacentral:rRNA from 1 species